rnacentral:rRNA from 1 species
GACGAACGCUGGCGGCGCGCCUAACACAUGCAAGUCGAACGAGCGAGAGAGAGCUUGCUUUCUCGAGCGAGUGGCGAACGGGUGAGUAACGCGUGAGGAACCUGCCUCAAAGAGGGGGACAACAGUUGGAAACGACUGCUAAUACCGCAUAAGCCCACAGCUCGGCAUCGAGCAGAGGGAAAAGGAGCAAUCCGCUUUGAGAUGGCCUCGCGUCCGAUUAGCUAGUUGGUGAGGUAACGGCCCACCAAGGCGACGAUCGGUAGCCGGACUGAGAGGUUGAACGGCCACAUUGGGACUGAGAUACGGUCCAGACUCCUACGGGAGGCAGCAGUGGGGAAUCUUCCGCAAUGGGGGAAACCCUGAUGCAGCGACGCCGCGUGAGUGAUGAAGUAUUUCGGUAUGUAAAACUCUAUCAGCAGGGAAGAUAAUGACGGUACCUGACUAAGAAGCACCGGCUAAAUACGUGCCAGCAGCCGCGGU